GACGAACGCUGGCGGCGUGCUUAACACAUGCAAGUCGAACGGAAAGGCCCUGCUUUUGUGGGGUGCUCGAGUGGCGAACGGGUGAGUAACACGUGAGUAACCUGCCCUUGACUUUGGGAUAACUUCAGGAAACUGGGGCUAAUACCGGAUAGGAGCUCCUGCUGCAUGGUGGGGGUUGGAAAGUUUCGGCGGUUGGGGAUGGACUCGCGGCUUAUCAGCUUGUUGGUGGGGUAGUGGCUUACCACGGCUUUGACGGGUAGCCGGCCUGAGAGGGUGACCGGCCACAUUGGGACUGAGAUACGGCCCAGACUCCUACGGGAGGCAGCAGUGGGGAAUAUUGCACAAUGGGCGGAAGCCUGAUGCAGCAACGCCGCGUGCGGGAUGACGGCCUUCGGGUUGUAAACCGCUUUCGCCUGUGACGAAGCGUGAGUGACGGUAAUGGGUAAAGAAGCACCGACUAACUACGUG
rnacentral:rRNA from 1 species